CAAGGCCCUCCAGGACCACGAGGAAUUCCUGGGAUUCCUGGAGACAUUAAGAAUUGUUCAUCUCCCCCCAAAUCUGCCUUUGCAGUGAAGGUGAGUGAUCACCUCCCAGCCCUCUCCCAGCCCAUUGUCUUCAAGGAAGCCCUGCAUAAUGACCAGGACCGCUUCAAUCUUACCACGGGAGUGUUCACCUGCACCGUACCGGGCGUGUACCACUUUGGCUUUGACAUUGAGCUGUUCCAGCAUGCUAUGAAGUUAGGGCUCAUGAAGAAUGGCACCCAAGUCCUGGAGAAGGAAGCCCAGGCCAAGGACAAUUAUAGGCAUGUUUCUGGAAAUGUCAUCUUGCAGCUGACGAUGGGAGACAGUCUGGUUGGAAUCCAAGCUAGACACAGCAGGGAGUGAGAAAGGACUGACUGAAAGUAUGUUCUUUGGGUAUUUGCCCUAUGGAAAUUAUACUGGCUAAGGGGUAACAGCACACUUAAAUUCCUCAAGUGGUCCUAAAUUUCACAGCAAACUUCCCUUCCCCCCUGGAUAUUUUUCAGUGACCGUUGAAUGAAUAACAUUAAGAAUGCCCAAUUUACCUAUGUGAAAGUAACCCUAAAAAACAGCCAAGAUUAAUUAUCCAUUAA